rnacentral:rRNA from 1 species
GAUGAACGCUAGCUACAGGCUUAACACAUGCAAGUCGCAGGGUAACAUGAGGAAAGCUUGCUUUCCUUGAUGACGACUGGCGCACGGGUGAGUAACGCGUAUCCAACCUUCCCUUAACUACGGGAUAACCCGUUGAAAGACGGCCUAAUACCGUAUGAUAUCGUUUGCUGACAUCAAAUAACGAUUAAAGGUUUAGCGGUUAUGGAUGGGGAUGCGUCUGAUUGGCUUGUUGGCGGGGUAACGGCCCACCAAGGCGAGGAUCAGUAGGGGUUCUGAGGGGGGGCGGCCCGAGAGUGGGACCGGGAACCGGUCCAAACUCCUACGGGCGGGAGCAGUGAGGAAUGUUGAUCAAGGGGAGAGAGCCUGAACCAGCCAAGUAGGGUGCAGGACGACGGCGCUAUGGGUUGUAAACUGCUUUUAUGUGGCGAUAAAGUGCGUGACGGGUCAUGCAUUGAAGGUAACACAUGAAUAAGCACCGGCUAAUUACGUG